rnacentral:SRP_RNA from 14 species
UCUACGAGAGGUAUCUUGUCCUCGACGUCCGGCGGCAGGGCCCGCCGCUGGAGCACCUGGAGGAAGUCCUUGACGUUCUCUGGAGAGGGAAACCCCGCCAGGC